AGAGACUUAGGAUAGUACCAGACCAAGAGCCUUCAAAGCUCUAAGCGAGAGUGAAAAUCUCCCAGUCUCUG
rnacentral:tRNA from 1 species